rnacentral:misc_RNA from 1 species
UUUCCGUAGGUGAACCUGCGGAAGGAUCAUUCAUAAUGAGUGUUUUAUGGCACUUUUUUAAAUCCAUAUCCACCUUGUGUGCAAUGUCAGGGUUGAUUUUUCUCUCGAGAGGAUCAGCCCCAAACAUCAACUAUAUCUCAACUCUUAGUCUGAAAAAUAUUAUGAAUACUUAAUUCAAAAUACAACUUUCAACAACGGAUCUCUUGGCUCUC